rnacentral:tRNA from 1 species
CGGGGUGUGGCGCAGUCCGGUAGCGCACUCGCAUGGGGUGCGAGGGGUCGUUGGUUCGAAUCCAAUCACCCCGACCA